AAUUAUUAAACUGAAGUCCCUGUCCCACAUGAUUUAACAUGUACACAGUCUGACAGUCACUGAACUUAUUAAAUAUGAGAAACUUGAUACUGCAGUGCUUUUCGACAAAGUAAAAAUAAGCAAGGCAACUUUCAAGACAGAAAAAACAUUGCACAGCAAACUACAACCCAGCACCUGCUUUUGCUAAACAUGUAAAUGUUGAAGACUUAAGAAAACGUUAAGACCGGUUUGACUGUUGGCACUUGUGAUUAUUUGCAGGGCCUUUUAGUAUCCAACAAUUGUGAACCUUUCUAAUAUCAAGAAUUUGUUGAGGAAUUGCCUUCAACAAAGGCAUUCAAUAAAUGCAAACCUACUGUAUUUGCAAAUCAAAUGUACAAUACAAAAUUUGAACAUCUAUACUGGAACAACUUACUGUUCCUAGCAGCAGUGUGCAAACAUUUGCCUUUGCAGCAGUGUGCAAACAUUUGCGUUCUCCAGAAUAUAUAGACCAGAUACUCGAAACACUCUUUUUACACCCAAAGAACAAAUGGUUGACAUUGAAUGCAAUACAAGAGGUCAGUCACAGAGCAAACUUUGGUUUCAUGAACAACGAGGUCGUCUACUGUAACUACCUCACAUUUCAGUACGGAAUGAAACGAAGAGAAAAUGUUUUCCUCACAUCACUUCUUUGCAAAAUCCUUUUGCCAGCAAGCAAUGUAAAGCAUGUCAAGUGGGGCAACAGUAAUCAGCAGAUUGCCAUUGAAAAACAUUUAGAGCAAAAUAAUUCAGGAUGAACUGAUAAUGAUGUGUAUUAAAAUAAUGUGUAUUAAAAUGACUGCAUGUGUUCAGUGUGGGUUAUUUGUUAACACAGAAGCUCCAUGACUUGGUGAAACCAGACUACUUGUUAUAUAAUUAUGCAGAGCCAACAACAUUUGGGAUAGGUGAGGUGAAGUGCCCAUUUUCAAAAAUGCAGACUGACUUCUAAAUGAUGUUGGUAUUUCAAUUUGUUGUUCAGUCUGUACAAUCAAUAAUUACACAGGUAUUUGGGUAGGUUUUUUUGAAAGGCUGUGGCAUAGUUUGUUGUAUAUAAUCUUGUGAUGCCCAGAUGGGUAAUGAUCCUAACUUGUGAUAGAGAAACUCUAACCAAGUAGCCCAUAUACGAGAAACAUGUGCUGUGAAAUGCCAAUUCGGAGAGCAAUAUGUUAAGGUUCCUGUAUAAGACCACAACGUACAGUAGGCGACAUUGAUCUUUUUCGCUGCAGCUUUUUUAUUCUGCCGAGUGUUCUACAUUGUUACUCGAACCAGCAUAAGUUAAGAAAUUACAUGGUGGUUGCAGAAAGUCAAAGAAAAUUUAAAUGUUGCAUAAUUUUGAAAACCUGUAUAGAAUUUAAAAUUUGUGUCAUUGGCAAGUACAUGAUUGUUCUAUUCGCAAUACACACUGUUCAUAUUUAGCUAGAUGAUAACUCAUAAUAUUUUCUUUGUAAAACUGCAUGUUCAGUUUUUAAUCUUUCAUUGGUUGACUCUUGUGUAUCAAUGCCAGUCGUUUGUUGUUCAGACUGGGUUGUUCAGUCUCACUACAGUAGCUGUCUAUAAUAAUAUAUUAUGUUCCCUGCCUUGGCUACUGUUUAUAGUUUGUCUACAUGAUACUUAACGACAGUUGGCAAUGCACUAAAAGAUUUCUCAGUGUAAGGAACACAUUUUGUGGCUUUUUCAUAAAAGGUUCACUUUGCAUUCUCAAUAUAAAAUUCAGCCAUAUUUCUCACAGGAAAUUUAUGGAAGGAUAAUUCCGAAUUUUUAACACUGUCGCUUCGACAAAGUGGCACACAACAGGUCGUUCCCCUGUACAUCUUACCUUUAGCACUUUUUCCGUGUCACUUGCCAUAUUUAUCCAAACAAACAGCAAACCAAACGGCUCGAAACUUUCCAAAAUAUACUCGAAACAAGCGAGGUUGCUUUAAAUUUCACUCACGUAAAUAUGUUGUAGUUAAAACUCCAAUAAGACAC